rnacentral:lncRNA from 1 species
AUUCCGCCCGCAGACUCUUUGCUCAAGUACGACACCCCAGUGCUGGUGAGCCGGAACACGGAGAAACGGAGCCCCAAGGCUCGGCUACUGAAAGUCAGCCCCCAGCAGCCUGGACCUUCAGGUUCAGCCCCACAGCCACCCAAGACCAAGCUCCCCUCAACUCCCUGUGUCCCAGAUCCUACAAAGCAGGCAGAAGAAAUCUUGAAUGCCAUACUACCCCCAAGAUCGCAGAAUUGGAGACGGAAAAGAGAGACCUGGAGAGGCAAGUGAACGAGCAGAAGGCAAAAUGUGAAGCCACUGAGAAGCGGGAGAGCGAGAGGCGGCAGGUGGAGGAGAAGAAGCACAAUGAGGAGAUUCAGUUCCUGAAGCGAACAAAUCAGCAGCUGAAGGCCCAACUGGAAGGCAUUAUUGCACCAAAGAAGUGAUAAUUUCCACAUGAUUAAUUUCCAACAAGACACUUGGGAGUUAUUUACUGUGUUCCUCUGGCAGCCAAUAAAAUCAUCAUAAGCCCUUUGUAAUAAAAAGCUAGUUUCCUGAGUGAACAAGCCAUAACCUCCCCUAAACACCACCUAGGUAUUUGUUAGAAGUCACACUAUUACUCCAAUGUCAUCAGACACCUAAGGUCUGCCAGCCAGGCUCCUGGCUGGGCAAUGGAAGAUGGUGUGGCCCUGUUAGUCUCCGUGUGUGGCUUACUAGCCAGCCUUGGGAACUGCCAACUCAAAUUCUAAGAAAGCCACUGCUUUCUCAUCAUCACUCUAUACCAAUACUUAUUUCUGGCCAAAUGAAUCUGCUUCUCUGCCCCUCAAACUUUUAGUUCACAAUUCAUCUUCUACCUUAACUUGGGCUUCUUGGGCCUCUGGCCUUCCUUACUUAAUGUCUUCUUUUCCCUACUCUAAUGCAUUUCUAACUCACUUUGGAGCUUUGGUUUUCUAAUGUAUUAUCCCCACUUGCCAGUCAACUGGACCCCUUCCUCCUCGGUUUCAGACUGCCUACAUUAGGAAACAAUGGCAGUCAAACCCAUGGCUUUGGAGAAAGUAAAUGUUUGCCAGAAAGGAAUACUAGUCACAGUGGCCUUUGUGAGUUGUCUGCAACUCAGCUCUUCCCCCAGCACAGAUCUGUUCCCCUUAUCCUGCAGAAAAUCAAGCCCUGACUCUGCACUCCCCGAAGUAGUGAUGUUAAUUAACAACUGAAGAGGUAACUAAAUCUCACAUGCAGGUCUAAUGACUAAUAAUUGGAGUACGGCUGCUAGACAACUGCAUUUUAGUAUUUCUCUUCCAUUCUCCUGGUUUUGUAGACCCAGAAGAUUGAAUGAGUGACAUAAAUCUUUAGUUCGGGGCAAGCCAGGGUGGGCUAGGGUGGUAAGCUGGAGGACUUCAUCCUUCAGUUAGGCUGCACAAGUAACAUUACCUAAAAGGCACUAACAUGCUCAGGUUCCCCAGAAAGAGGCGUAAGAAGGGCCUCUCCUUAGCAGAGCUUCCACCUGCCAUCCGUCUUGGGUUCAGUGAGCUUCAAGGCUCACAAUGGAAGCACUGUCAUUUCCCCAGAAAAGCUGUGUUCCCUAUGCUGAACACACCAUACACAUUCUCAUCUGGAAUCUAAGGAGCAGCUUUUACCCUGAUCCAGUAUCCUGAGGAAUUUUAAGCCUCCACUCAAAUGACCUGCCUGUGUUGUCAUUUCCAUGGGAAAGAACUCUUUCCACGAGAUCUGCUAGUUCCAGGCCUCUAAGACAGGAACGUAUGUGCCAUAAGUGGGUCUACUUCACAGACUCAAUGAGGCAGAAAUUAUUGUAGUUUUCUCCUAUUUCUUCUGCACCCAACUUUCUCCUUGUAUUUCAAAGGCCAGGCCAUGUACACUAACGUCCUUGAAAUUUGCAGUUCUGUAUGCUUCUAUUCCAAAUCAUUCAUUACCAAUAAAAACGAAAUACCACCCUUUCCAUUUUAUAGACCUCAUCCCCUAUUUCUGUCAGACAGUUAUAUGACAGGGUGACUGUGGAACCUCUUAGUUCAUCCAAAGUCUACCUGAAGUGCUAGACUUUCAGACUCUUAUCACUGAAAUCCUUAAGGUUGAGGAGGCUUUAUUUCCCUAGCACUGGUGAAGGGCUUCAACUGUCAAACCUCAGAACAAAUGCAUUAGGGCCUUAGAAAUGUCAAUGGGGCAGGAAGAAAACACAAUUUCUAACUGCCUGUUUUUGUAUAAUUUAAUAAAAACCUUUUAAACAUU